ACUGGAAUGUAAUGGUUGGCCACUUCGGAUUUCGGAGGAUUUUGAAGCUCAAAUUUGCUCAAAGAAAGCAGGAAAAAACAGGAAAUAAUCUGAUUGAUAGAGGUGGACACACAAAUUCUGAAUCCGAGGAUUAAGACACGCACAAAAGACAAAAAGCUUGGCAAGAAGUGUCUUGAAGAGGUCAUGAAAGAAUUUCAUCUUGCAAGAGCAUACUUAUGUUUAACUGCUAAUCUCAUGCAGAUGUUGGAGCACCUAUAAUCUUUCUUCUUGUGUCUUUCUAGCAACCUACCUAUGUAACUUUGUUCCACAAACUAUGUUUCUGUUUUGCCUUUCCUGCAAACUACUCCUGUAACUUUGUUCCACAAAUGAAUGUAAUAUAUUAUGAAGCAUGUCAUGUUAAUAUUUAGUUU